rnacentral:rRNA from 1 species
GAUGAACGCUGGCGGCGUGCCUAAUACAUGCAAGUCGAGCGAACAGACGAGGAGCUUUCUCCUCUUACGUUAGCGGCGGACGGGUGAGUAACACGUGUAUAACCUACCUAUAAGACUGGGAUAACUUCGUGAAACCGGAGCUAAUACCGGAUAAUAUAUUGAACCGCAUGGUUCAAUAGUGAAAGACGGUUUUGCUGUCACUUAUAGCUGGAUCCGCGCCGCAUUAGCUAGUUGGUAAGGUAACGGCUUACCAAGGCGACGAUGCGUAGCCGACCUGAGAGGGUGAUCGGCCACACUGGAACUGAGACACGGUCCAGACUCCUACGGGAGGCAGCAGUAGGGAAUCUUCCGCAAUGGGCGGAAGCCUGACGGAGCAACGCCGCGUGAGUGAUGAAGGUCUUCGGAUCGUAAAACUCUGUUAUUAGGGAAGAACAAAUGUGUAAGUAACUAUGCACGUCUUGACGGUACCUAAUCAGAAAGCCACGGCUAACUACGUG